AGUUGUAAUUUGUAGAGGAUGCUUUUGGUGAGGUGCCGCCCGAGUUCCCUGGAACGGGACGCCACAGAGGGUGAGAGCCCCGUCUGGCUGGCCACCGAGCCUCUGUAAAGCUCCUUCGACGAGUCGAGUAGUUUGGGAAUGCUGCUCAAAAUGGGAGGUAUAUGUCUUCUAAAGCUAAAUAUUGGCCAGAGACCGAUAGCGCACAAGUAGAGUGAUCGAAAGAUGAAAAGCACCUUGAAAAGAGGGUUAAAUAGUACGUGAAAUUGUUGAAAGGGAAGCGCUUGUGACCAGACUUGGGCGCGGCGGAUCAUCCGGGGUUCUCUCCGGUGCACUUCGCCGCGUCUAGGCCAGCAUCAGUUCGUCGCGGGGGAAAAAGGCUUCGGGAACGUGGCUCCUCCGGGAGUGUUAUAGCCCGUUGCAUAAUACCCUGCGGUGGACUGAGGACCGCGCAUCUGCAAGGAUGCUGGCGUAAUGGUCACCAGC
rnacentral:rRNA from 1 species